GCCGGGCGUGGUGGCGUGUGUCUGUAGUGCCAGCUAUUCAGGAGGCCGAGGCUGGAGGAUCUCUUGAGUCCAGGAGUUUGGGGCUGUAGCGCGCUAUGCCAGUCGGGUGUCCGCACUAAGUUCCGCAUCAAUAUGGUGAUCUCCCGGGAGCAGGGGACCACCAGGUUGCCUAAGGAGGGGUGAACUGGCCCAGGUCGGAAAUGGAGCAGGUCAAAACUCCUGUGCUGUGCUGAUCAGUAGUGGGAUCCCACCUGUGAAUAACCACUGCACUCCAGCCUGGGCAACAUAGCGAGACCCUGUCUGU
rnacentral:SRP_RNA from 1 species